rnacentral:rRNA from 1 species
GAUGAACGCUGGCGGCGUGCUUAACACAUGCAAGUCGAACGGGAAAUACUUCAUUGAGACUUCGGUGGAUUUGAUUUAUUUCUAGUGGCGGACGGGUGAGUAACGCGUGGGUAACCUGCCUUAUACAGGGGGAUAACAGUCAGAAAUGACUGCUAAUACCGCAUAAGCGCACAGAGCUGCAUGGCUCAGUGUGAAAAACUCCGGUGGUAUAAGAUGGACCCGCGUUGGAUUAGCUUGUUGGUGAGGUAACGGCCCACCAAGGCGACGAUCCAUAGCCGGCCUGAGAGGGUGAACGGCCACAUUGGGACUGAGACACGGCCCAGACUCCUACGGGAGGCAGCAGUGGGGAAUAUUGCACAAUGGGGGAAACCCUGAUGCAGCGACGCCGCGUGAAGGAAGAAGUAUCUCGGUAUGUAAACUUCUAUCAGCAGGGAAGAUAGUGACGGUACCUGACUAAGAAGCCC